GAUGAACGCUGGCGGCGUGCCUAAUACAUGCAAGUCGAGCGAACAGACGAGGAGCUUGCUCCUCUGACGUUAGCGGCGGACGGGUGAGUAACACGUGGAUAACCUACCUAUAAGACUGGGAUAACUUCGGGAAACCGGAGCUAAUACCGGAUAAUAUAUUGAACCGCAUUGUUCAAUAGUGAAAGACGGUUUUGCUGUCACUUAUAGAUGGAUCCGCGCCGCAUUAGCUAGUUGGUAAGGUAACGGCUUACCAAGGCGACGAUGCGUAGCCGACCUGAGAGGGUGAUCGGCCACACUGGAACUGAGACACGGUCCAGACUCCUACGGGAGGCAGCAGUAGGGAAUCUUCCGCAAUGGGCGAAAGCCUGACGGAGCAACGCCGAGUGAGUGAUGAAGGUCUUCGGAUCGUAAAACUCUGUUAUUAGGGAAGAACAAAUGUGUAAGUAAAUAUGCACGUAUUGACGGUACCUAAUCAGAAAGCCACGGCUAACUACGUG
rnacentral:rRNA from 1 species